GAUGAAGAACGUAGCGAAAUGCGAUAAGUAAUGUGAAUUGCAGAAUUCAGUGAACCAUCGAAUCUUUGAACGCACAUUGCGCCCGGCAGUAAUCUGCCGGGCAUGCCUGUCCGAGCGUCAUUUCUGCCCUCGAGCCUGUCCAGCAUCUAGGUGCUGUUCCGGCCCGGCGUUGGGGCACUACGGGAAGCCUCGUGCUAUCCCCCGUAGGCCCCGAAAUGAAGUGGCGGUCCUGCCGCGGCUCCCCCUGCGUAGUAUUACAGCUCGCUUCGGGACCCGGUGGAGGCCUGCCGUCAAACCUUACUCUCUAAGUUUGACCUCGGACCAGGUAGGGUUACCCGCUGAACUUAAGCAUAUCAAUAAGCGGAGGA
rnacentral:misc_RNA from 1 species